ACCGCCAGUGUUGUGAUCUAACGAGUAUUUAAUAAUUGAAAUAAACUAUAUUCACGUAAUUGUGUUGUACUUGCUGUUUUGAGCAAUACGCUUGCUGUAAAUUUGAAUUCGGUAAACAAGCGACUUCAAGAUAUUCUAUUGUCCAUGCCCAAUCCCACCCAACUUGCCCCACCAGGGAUUUGCGAGUCUACGCCAGGGAACUGCGUUCAGUCUGAGAGUCCGGCAGUGAUCCAAAAUACCAAAAAGGAUCCCACGUCCGGAAUUAUGUGUUGUGCUCACUUGAGUUGACUGCUUUUUCCAUAGUUGGCGGCAUCUGAUAUUUUGUGCCAAUGUCCGUUAUUGCCCUUUCUUCUGUAUGUCGCUGCUCUUAGCUUUAAACUUGAAUGGAACUUGGAGAUAGCUUUAAACUUGAAUAACAGAACCAAACCAUAACCCUUACUUUGCACGAUGGUUUUUCAGCUGACAGUGUCCAUGUGGAUGGCGGAUGUGUAAGGCCGCGGGGCCAUGGGGUUUCUCAACGCUAAUUUUCUCAAGCACUCAUAAGUGCUUUUGAGAAACCUACGUUCUCAACGAUUGUCGAAUCGGAACAAAAUCGGUUUGAGAAUCUUUGAGAAUAUUUGAGAAAAUUGGCGAUGCAGCAUCGGCUAACUGAAAUAUAAGCAAUUGUGCUAUUUGUUUUUCGAUAAUCACUUUGGUAAAUGUAUUCAAUGUUUAUAAUUUAAAAAAAUGCGAUCAAAAACUCAUUUUCU